ensembl:snRNA U2 U2 spliceosomal RNA
AUAUCGCCGGCCUUUUGGCUAAGAUCAAGUGUAGUAUCUGUUCUUAUCAGUUUAAUAUCUGAUAAACAAAAUGAACCCGGGGACCAUAUAUUAAAUUGAUUUUGGAACUGGGAGAUGGAAAAGGGCUUGCCCUCUUCCACUCCACGCAUCGACCUGGUAAGCAGUACCUCCAGGACCGGUGCACCCUCU